rnacentral:RNase_P_RNA from 1 species
GUGUUUGGGUACGUGUUCGCUCGUAUGCGAGAUGACGAGAGGAAAGUCCGGACACCACAUGGCAGAAUUCCGCAUGAAAGUGCGGGCAUGCAUGCCAUAUCGUGCAUGACGGAUAGCGCAACAGAAAGUAUUCAGCCUAGCGAUAGGUUAUGGUGAAAUGGUGUGGUAAGAGCACACCGGCGUGGCAGCAAUGUUACGCGCAGGGCAAGCCCAAUUCGGUGCAAGACGGAAUAGGGUGUCGAGUAGCCAGCUCAAUGGCACCGGGUUCGUCGCACUUCCACUUGGAAGAAUGUUGAAUUAGAUGAAUGAACACGCGAACUUUCAGUUCGAACAGAAUCCGGCUUAUUCUCAAAUUUGUGC